AUGAAAUAUAAUAUUUCAAGAAUAUACAAACAUGAAGAAAAGAAAGUGGUAGUAUCCCAUGACUAGUGUGUUGGUGGCAUGUCUCUGAAGUACCAUAGCUGGCAGGGAAGCAAACCACAAAGAGCUGCCAUUGUUGUACCAUUAUAAGAGAGUGAGAAAACAAGAAUCUACUUGCAAGCAAAAGAAAUUUGUAGCAGCCUCUCAUCUCUCCAAAACACUUGACUGAGGAGCGACUUGGUAUGUAUGGAGAAUCACUUCUGUGACACACGGGAAAGUUAACAUGGAGCAGGGAUAAUGGAAAUGGAACCCAAGUCCUCUCAUCCACUAGGUGAACUACUGGACUGCACAUUAAUAUUUGACAGAAUACAACUUAAUGCUUCCUUGGUGGUAAUA